rnacentral:misc_RNA from 1 species
GCGCCAUAUAAGUACCCCAGCCUCCCUGUACUGUGGGACAAUGAGGUCAUCUAAUGACAGUGCAGCUGCAGAAGCAAUAUUGAUUGCUUCUUCUCCAAGGGAGGUCAAAUAGAAGGAAAUUCUUCCUUGCCUUUGCGCUUCAUAGAAGAUCGUGUCCAUUGUUUGGAGGGUAACCAUGUCAUUGUACAUCUUCAUAGCAAUCUCUUUGCUCACCUGCGUAAAAUUACUGUACAUACUAGGCUGGCCAUUGUCAUCAAGAACACGAAAGCAGGGUAUCCGCUCCUCCUCCCGAUCUGGGAUGAAACUCAGUUUAGGAGUAAAUUUAACCUUUCCUCCUGGGAACUCCAAAACCUGAUUGUCACGAUCAUCGUUGACAGAAGCCACUUGCUUUCCCA